rnacentral:rRNA from 1 species
CCUGCUUUUGUGGGGUGCUCGAGUGGCGAACGGGUGAGUAACACGUGAGUAACCUGCCCUUGACUUUGGGAUAACUUCAGGAAACUGGGGCUAAUACCGGAUAGGAGCUCCUGCUGCAUGGUGGGGGUUGGAAAGUUUCGGCGGUUGGGGAUGGACUCGCGGCUUAUCAGCUUGUUGGUGGGGUAGUGGCUUACCAAGGCUUUGACGGGUAGCCGGCCUGAGAGGGUGACCGGCCACAUUGGGACUGAGAUACGGCCCAGACUCCUACGGGAGGCAGCAGUGGGGAAUAUUGCACAAUGGGCGGAAGCCUGAUGCAGCAACGCCGCGUGCGGGAUGACGGCCUUCGGGUUGUAAACCGCUUUCGCCUGUGACGAAGCGUGAGUGACGGUAAUGGGUAAAGAAGCACCGGCUAACUACGUGCCAGCAGCCGCGGUGAUACGUAGGGUGCGAGCGUUGUCCGGAUUUAUUGGGCGUAAAGGGCUCGUAGGUGGUUGAUCGCGUCGGAAGUGUAAUCUUGGGGCUUAACCCUGAGCGUGCUUUCGAUACGGGUUGACUUGAGGAAGGUAGGGGAGAAUGGAAUUCCUGGUGGAGCGGUGGAAUGCGCAGAUAUCAGGAGGAACACCAGUGGCGAAGGCGGUUCUCUGGGCCUUUCCUGACGCUGAGGAGCGAAAGCGUGGGGAGCGAACAGGCUUAGAUACCCUGGUAGUCCACGCUGUAAACGGUGGGUACUAGGUGUGGGGUCCAUUCCACGGGUUUCCGUGCCGUAGCUAACGCUUUAAGUACCCCGCCUGGGGAGUACGG